rnacentral:rRNA from 1 species
GCCAGCGGCCAUAUCACCCUUCAACUCACAACCCACUGAAGCUAAGUACUGUAGGUGUGAGCCUAGUCAGUACCUGGAUGGGAGACCUCCUGGGAAAAACUAAGGUUGCUGCUGGAA